CCUACGGGAGGCAGCAGUGAGGAAUAUUGGUCAAUGGGCGUAAGCCUGAACCAGCCAAGUCGCGUGAGGGAUGAAGGUUCUAUGGAUCGUAAACUUCUUUUAUAAGGGAAUAAAGUUCGGGACGUAUCCCGUUUUGUAUGUACCUUAUGAAUAAGGAUCGGCUAACUCCGUGCCAGCAGCCGCGGUAAUACGGAGGAUCCGAGCGUUAUCCGGAUUUAUUGGGUUUAAAGGGAGCGUAGGCGGCCUUUUAAGUCAGCUGUGAAAGUCUGUGGCGCAACCGUAGAAUUGCCGUUGAAACUGGGGGGCUGGAGUGUGUUAGAGGCAGGCGGAAUGCGUGGUGUAGCGGUGAAAUGCUUAGAUAUCACGCAGAACCCCGAUUGCGAAGGCAGCCUGC
rnacentral:rRNA from 1 species